rnacentral:rRNA from 1 species
GAUGAACGCUGGCGGCGUGCCUAAUACAUGCAAGUCGAGCGAACAGACGAGGAGCUUGCUCCUCUGACGUUAGCGGCGGACGGGUGAGUAACACGUGGAUAACCUACCUAUAAGACUGGGAUAACUUCGGGAAACCGGAGCUAAUACCGGAUAAUAUAUUGAACCGCAUGGUUCAAUAGUGAAAGACGGUUUUGCUGUCACUUAUAGAUGGAUCCGCGCCGCAUUAGCUAGUUGGUAAGGUAACGGCUUACCAAGGCGACGAUGCGUAGCCGACCUGAGAGGGUGAUCGGCCACACUGGAACUGAGACACGAUCCAGACUCCUACGGGAGGCAGCAGUAGGGAAUCUUCCGCAAUGGGCGAAAGCCUGACGGAGCAACGCCGCGUGAGUGAUGAAGGUCUUCGGAUCGUAAAACUCUGUUAUUAGGGAAGAACAAAUGUGUAAGUAACUAUGCACGUCUUGACGGUACCUAAUCAGAAAGCCACGGCUAACUACGUG